CAAAGUGCUCAUAGUGCAGGUAGUUGUAUUCAUGUUCUACUGUAAUAUGGGCACUUACAGU
rnacentral:pre_miRNA from 1 species